UGCCGCUUGAAAUUAUAGGCGGUACAUCCUGCCCAGUGACACGUUAAACGGCCGCGGUAUCCUGACCGUGCAAAGGUAGCAUAAUCAUUUGCCUAUUAAUUGUAGGCUAGUAUGAAUGGACAAACGAGGAUCUAUCUGUCUCCUUUUAGUUUCUAAAACUUUAUUUUUAAGUGAAGAAGCUUAAAUUCAUUCGCAGGACAAGAAGACCCUAUAGAGCUUUACCUAAAAUUUUAAUAAAUAAAACCUAUACGGUUCGGUUGGGGCGACCAAGGAACUUAAAACAUCCUACACUUAUUAGAUAUACAAAUCUAAACAAAGAUCCUUAGUCAAGAUCACAGAAUUUAGCUACCUUAGGGAUAACAGGCUAAUUCCUCUAGAGAGCUCAUAUUGACAGAGGAGAUUGGCACCUCGAUGUUGGCUUAGGAUCUCUUUGUGCUGCAGCAGGCACAACAAGAUAGUUUGUUCAACUAUUAAAUUCCU
rnacentral:rRNA from 1 species